rnacentral:rRNA from 1 species
ACUCAAAGGAAUAGACGGGGGCCCGCACAAGCAGCGGAGCGUGUGGUUUAAUUCGAGGCUACACGAAAAACCUUACCUGGGUUUGACAUCCCACCAACGAAGGUGAAAGCCGGAGGUACCCGCAAGGGAGGUGGAGACAGGUGCUGCAUGGCUGUCGUCAGCUCGUGUCGUGAGAUGUUCGGUUAAGUCCGAAAACGAGCGCAACCCUCGGUGCGUGUUACACGUGUCACGCACAACUGCCUGCGGCAAGCAGGAGGAAGGUGGGGAUGACGUCAAGUCAGCAUGGCCUUUAUAUCCAGGGCUACACACACGCUACAAUGGACGGUACAGUGGGUCGCUAAGCCGCGAGGUGGAGCCAAUCCUAAAAAGCCGUUCGUAGUUCGGAUUGUAGGCUGCAACUCGCCUGCAUGAAGCUGGAGUUGCUAGUAACCGUAUAUCAGCAUGAUACGGUGAAUACGUUCCCGGGCCUUGUACACACCGCCCGU